rnacentral:rRNA from 1 species
UACGAAGGGGGCUAGCGUUGUUCGGAAUUACUGGGCGUAAAGCGCGCGCAGGCGGUUCUUUUAAGUCAGGGGUGAAAGCCCAGAGCUCAACUCUGGAAUUGCCUUUGAAACUAGAGAACUUGGGUACGGGAGAGGAGAGUGGAAUUCCUGGUGUAGCGGUGAAAUGCGCAGAUAUCAGGAAGAACACCCGUGGCUAAGGCGGCUCUCUAGUACGGUACUGACGCUGAGACGCGAAAGCGUGGGGAGCGAACAGG